CCGGGGCAGCAGGAGUUCAGGCCUUGGGAGAAAAAUCUUAAGAUAUGUAUUUGGGGGUAGAAAUGACCCCCCAAAGGGAAAGAAAGGUGGCCUCAGGAUACUCAGCAGAGCAGGGGCUGAUUGCAUACUGGGUGUGGUGCUGAACCCCGGGAGUCCUGAACUAAACAGAAUAUACACUGCCCUUCAAAGCCUGGAGGUCCAGGGGAGGAGAGUUAUGAGAGUGGUGACUACCCCAACUUCCUAGGAAGUUUCCUCUUGAUACUGCUGCAGUUUCAUGGUACAGGGGCUUCAAGUGUCAUCAGACAUCAGGGCCACUGCACGCCAUGACGCACGGUAACGUUUGGAUGAAAACAUUUGGUACAGAUAUUCAGAUGAAAGAUCCAAAAAGUCACUGCCAAUUAAUUCUUUAACUGGCAGAGAAAAUGGACACUAUGGAGACCCUUAGACCGUAUCAGGAAUGUCGGACUCAUCUGGCCACAGAGGUUUGAGGUGGUAGACAUUGUGAAGCCACAGAAUACAACUGGAGGCAAAGCACAGCUCAUGGUUUCUGGUGUUGGACCAGAAGGAAGGCUGGGUAAGUGGUUAGAUUGAGUUCACAACUCCAGUUUGAGACUUACACAGUCAUGUGAGUCCACUGAGAAGCAGAUAGCACCCAGUAGGGUAGCAGAUAGCACCCAAUAGGGUCUAAACAUGGAGCUUCAUGGAGGGGCGCUACAGGAAUGACAUCUGAACUCUCACCAAGGGACCCAAAACAAGUCAAGAGGUUUUUAGGGAGCAGGAAUUCCUUGGAAACCUUAAAAUGGAGACUUCUGAGCCCAUGUGCAACACUUACAUCCACUGAUGGACUUCACACUCUGCUGCCCUCCAGCCCAGGCAACAUGCUGUCCUCAGGGUGGAUGUUCUGGCCUAGUAUGGAGUCUGUAUCCUUUGGACAGGCCACGGCCAGAAACCAGCUCCUUUUCCCUUGAUUCUGGGGUUCAGGCUCUACACUUAGGCCUUUUAGGGGCCCUAAGAGAGUAAGAAAAUUGAUGUAGCUGCCCAGACUGGCUUCUGUGAUCCUGGAGAAGUCACUGCUUUUUUCUGGGCCUUGGCUUAGUGCUUGUUUGAUGACAAUCUCUGCUCCAGGUUCUGUCCCAAGUGAGGACCUGAACAAGGUAGGCAUGAGCCUUACAACUGGUGUGAAGACCCAUUUGAGCAGGAAGGUGGUCUAGGUUGUUUUCCUAACAGCUCUCAGACAGGCUAGCCUGUGACUCUUGGACUAUGUCCAGGAUGGGAUGCUGGUGUCACACAGGAAGAUGGAAUAGUUUCAGAGCAGAGAGUGGAUGCAGGUUCCACAGACUCUCAAGAGAUUUUGGGACUAAACACUGAGUUUUAGGCUCCCUCUAAGGGAGGUCUUACCCUGCAGGCUAGUGCCCUGAACAUGCCCCUUCAAGAAGCACUUCACCUCAUGUUCAGGUGAUAAGAUGACCAAGCCUUCAGAGUGAGGUCUCUGUGUCAUCUUCCAAUUGGCCCGGCUUCCACAGGAGCAAUGGGUUCCCUUCUAGACAUCAUGCAUAAGAACAAAGAGAUGGGAUUGUUUCCAGAAGUCACCGGCUUGGCUGUUAAAAGACUAUUGUUUCUUCAUGUGUGAACUCUUGGGGAUAAGCCCAAUGCCCGGCCAAUAGCACACUCUACCACUGAACUACUCCCCCAGCCUGUCCAAAGCCUUGCUGGAUGAAGAGAACCUAGGGUUGGUGGGCACUGGGAGCAGACAUUAAAUCCUUGAAGUGCUGCCUCGUGGACUCUACAGGAAGGUAGCUAACUGAGCAAAAGACUAAGUCCUGACCUAUAUGGAGCAGAGUGGGAUUUGCUGGUGCCUCACAUAGUCUUUGUAAGAGUGAAGAAUCGCAGGCAGGAUUCAAACUCUCCAAGGAGGGGAUGACAGAGAGCGUAGCGCCAUUCCCCUGGGACUGGGAGAGGGCAGGUGUCGCCUUAUGAACAAGAGAGAAUGAUCUCUGGUCUCCUGUGGCUAUCUGCCUUCAGGAAGGGUGCUGCUCGCUCCUCCAGCCCCACUCCAUAAAGACAAGCUUGUGACCUACCGUGGAGCAGGCAGACCGGAGCAGGCCUUGGGAAAGGAAGCCAAGACCCUUCCCUCCCACGCCACCACGAGAGGCUGGUCAUUAGCUUGUAGUAUAGAAGUUGGACUGGGCUGGGCCAGGCCUGGGGGUGGGAUGGGAGGAUGGCUCCUCAAUGAGUCAUCAGACCCUGUCUGCCCCUUCUUCCUUGAGGGAGGGAAGCUGGGGAGACAAGCCGUAGCCAGCUGGGUUUGUGAAGGCAGUUUGGCCACCGGAUCCUUCCAGUUCUGUGGACAACUGGGAACUGGCUUCUUUAUGUUCCUUGUCCACCACCCAGGACACAGAGUUGGUGAACCACCUGAUCAGGGUGGAAGGCUCCAUCCAAAGCCUAGUUGCCUACUCGCACGGCUAAGGUGGCAGGCCGUGCCGCAGCCUUUGGAGAGACUGCUGGGCCCUGACUGGUACUCUGCAGAAGCUGCUUGCAUGCUUCCUGUGUGAUCACAGCUGAGCCGGAGAGGCCCACCCUCCCUCACACCCUUCCUGAGCCUCCUUCCAAAUCUGUUCUCACCCAGCAGGCCUGUCCACACCACACCCUCUCCCAGACUCCCAGGGAAGCCUGGGGACAGAGGGAGUAACUUUGGGUUCAGGCCCAACCUUUCCUCCAUCCUGCCCCAGUCAGCCUGAUGCUGUGCCCUGGACAACUUCUGGAGAGGGGACCACAGAAGCACAAGAUAGCCCAGCCUUGAGAAGGCCCAAGAAAUGGAGGUGAUGAAGUUGAGUUGGAGGCCAAGCUUCCCUCUGACACUCUGCUCAUCUGCCCUCCUGCCGGAUCCCCAAGUCCUUCUCUAAGCAUAUGCGGACAAGAGAGAUCCCCGUCCGAUGACUCCACGUGUGCCAUGGUGGGGACACUGCCAGAUGAGAGGGUCCAGGCAAGCAGAUCUUCUUGUGGAAAACUUGGUGACAGUACCCUUUCUGAGUCAGUUUCCUUAUCUGUACAGUGUAGACGUGGGCCAGAAGCUGUAGAGAGUCUCCGUGUUCUUCAGGCUUAGGCGGGUCAUUGGGUACAGCCAGGUGUAUUUUGGUACCUGGACUAAGGGGACAAGUGGGAUGACUAAGAGAUCUUCCCAGAUGGAAGGCCUGGCAUGGGUGCAUGUGGAAGUAUUCAUGGAGGAGACUUCAGCCGCCCAUCAGUGCUCUGCCCCGCCCCUCAGCGGUUGGUAAGGAACAUGCUCAUUGGCCUCAUUCUGCCUCUGUCUUCAGGGUACAUUUGGGUUUCUGUGUCUGCCAUCUCUUACUCAGAUGUUUUGCACUGCUUUGAUGAACAGAUGGACAAACGGUUCCCUUGGAGACUGAUCUUUCAUCUCUGGCAUGGGACACACGCUUAGUGGCUUAAGGAGCCAGCCUUGGGAAGAAAUAGUGAAACUCAUAGACGCCUGUCUUCACUUUCUGCCUCUUUAAAGAUUUUUGUUUGCUUGCUUGCUUGUUUAAGAGCUGAAGAUGGCUCAUGUGUUAAACGCAUCGCAUCUGAUGCUCUUACAUAAAACCCAGGUUCAGUUCCCAGCACCCAGCAAGUGGCUCACAACCACCUGUGAUCCCAGUUCUGGGGGGAAUCUAGUGCCCCUUCUGGCCUCCUCAGGAACUGCACACAGGAGGUGCAUGUACAGACAUGGUCGGGGAACAUACUCAUACUGAUAAAAUAAAAAUAAUUCUUUUUAAAAAGUGGUUUUCAAUCAUCAUUAUUAAGGAAUUAUCAGCAGAGCAGACAGACAGCCCACAGAAUGGGAGACCAU